AACGAACGCUGGCGGCAGGCCUAACACAUGCAAGUCGAGCGAGAACUUCGGUUCUAGCGGCGGACGGGUGAGUAACGCGUGGGAACGUGCCCUUUGCUACGGAAUAGCCCAGGGAAACUUGGAUUAAUACCGUAUACGCCCUUCGGGGGAAAGAUUUAUCGGCAAAGGAUCGGCCCGCGUUAGAUUAGGUAGUUGGUGGGGUAAUGGCCUACCAAGCCUACGAUCUAUAGCUGGUUUGAGAGGAUGAUCAGCCACACUGGGACUGAGACACGGCCCAGACUCCUACGGGGGGCAGCAGUGGGGAAUCUUAGACAAUGGGGGAAACCCUGAUCUAGCCAUGCCGCGUGAUCGAUGAAGGCCUUAGGGUUGUAAAGAUCUUUCAGUGGGGAAGAUAAUGACGGUACCCACAGAAGAAGCCCCGGCUAACUCCGUGCCAGCAGCCGCGGUAAUACGGAGGGGGCUAGCGUUGUUCGGAAUUACUGGGCGUAAAGCGCGCGUAGGCGGGCUGGAAAGUUGGGGGUGAAAUCCCGGGGCUCAACCCCGGAACUGCCUCCAAAACUUCCAGUCUUGAGUUCGAGAGAGGUGAGUGGAACUCCGAGUGUAGAGGUGAAAUUCGUAGAUAUUCGGAAGAACACCAGUGGCGAAGGCGGCUCACUGGCUCGAUACUGACGCUGAGGUGCGAAAGUGUGGGGAGCAAACAGG
rnacentral:rRNA from 1 species